CAGCAGCCACGGUAAUACGUAGGUGGCAAGCGUUGUCCGGAAUUAUUGGGCGUAAAGGGCUCGCAGGCGGUUUCUUAAGUCUGAUGUGAAAGCCCCCGGCUCAACCGGGGAGGGUCAUUGGAAACUGGGAAACUUGAGUGCAGAAGAGGAGAGUGGAAUUCCACAUGUAGCGGUGAAAUGCGUAGAGAUGUGGAGGAACAUCAGUGGCGAAGGCGACUCUCUGGUCUGUAACUGACGCUGAGGAGCGAAAGCGUGGGGAGCGAACAGGAUUAGAUACCCCAGUAGUCCCUGUCUCUUAUAC
rnacentral:rRNA from 1 species